GCUAGAGGCCUUGUUUACAUAUUUUGUGAAAAAUUAGUAAGGGGGUGUCCAGCACUUGAAGUGCUGAUUUUUUCAGACAGUGGCCAAGUAAAACAGGGCAACACGAAAAUAGGAAGUUUAUCUACAUUAAACUCUUUUGUACAGGUUCUUUUGCUGAAAGUCCUAAAAUCAGCCAUGGUGAAAAUUGCUGGAGAAGGUCAGUUAAGACUUUUCUGUGGGCCUGGGUAGGGAGGGGGAAGACGGGA
rnacentral:lncRNA from 1 species